AAAAAAUAGCAUUUUAUCGUCAUGACCGUCGUUGAGAGCUCGCAGCGCGCACACACACACCGUGUGUUUCAAAUUAUUGCCGAAAAGUAAAAGCAAGGGAACAGCAACAACACCAAAGAAUUUACACUAAACACGCUGCUCGCAUGUCAACAGGGUUAGAUGCUUAGAACACUUUGUCUAAUCUACGGUGCAAGGGGCUAAGCAUUCACAUUGGUAAAAUAUAGAAAUUGGUGUCCAUUUGUUUUCGACUGAGGAGAAGAAAAAAAACUGCGAUGAUUUUGCUUUCCAUUCAACUCAAUAAAAACUAAUUUCCGAUACGGUGCUGGGUAGAAACAUGCGGGUAUGCAUUCAUUCUUCAAUUGGACAGUAACAAUCACAAUGAACAAGAUGAAAAAAAAAAUAUUGCCAAGAAAUUUUCGUUCAAUAUACUAUUCGUAUGAAAAACUCAAACAAUAGGCGAGUCGAAAAAAAACCAUUCCAUCUAGCUAUAUGCGUCAUAACUGUUAAAACCAUUGAAACGCAACUCAAGAACAAUGCCGUGUGCAUAAGUUAGGUGCAUCAUCCCCUCGCUGAACUGGUAGACUAUACUUGAUGUCGAGAACGACGACGACGGUAAUGAUGACAAGAACAACAACAACAACAACAAGAAAACUAAAGGAAGCUGAUAAUUCAUUCGCUCUUUCUUUUCAACUAUUUGAAUAAUUAUUCCUAUUUUGGUUUAGAUAUUUCUUUUCAUUUUAUUCGAUUAUUGUCAUUCCAAUUUUCGCACAGCCAAUCCAUUAUGUAUAGCACACAACAUUGAACAAACAAACUAUUCGAGGGAUACCUGCAAACAUGACUCAAACAAUAUGAGCGUUCAAAAAAUUUUCCAUGACGCAACUUUUGUAAUUACAAUGCAUUGGAAAGCUGUGACUAAGGAAGAACACAGAAACACAGAGAGUGAGGUACACGAAAGAAAAAGUGAAAAAAAAGAACGAAAGAACUACUCGACGGCGAAAAAAACUGAAGAACACAGGCAUUAAAAUUGAAAUAAGGGAAGAAAAUAUAAAUACACAUAGACGAUUGCACUGGCACGGAACACAAUGAGGAGUGCUAGUGUAUCAGAAUGUUGGUGACACACAGAAAGUCAGGUUUUAAGCGAAUGUGUGAGCGAGAUACAGCUAAAAUGGUAUAAGGUAUGAGACAAGGGACGAGACGAUGACGACGACGGGCAAACAGCAACAACAAAAAAUGAUAUUCGUGGAGAGAGGGAGAGAGAGAGAGAGAGAGCGACCGAACGAAAGAGCAGAGUGCGGAGUGCGGUCUGUCUAAAAUACAAGAAAAGGAAGAACAUUAAGAAUGUAUCGGAUGGCUUGAGCUGGGUAGCUUACAUGAUUCGCUUCAUGUAUCUUCCCGUCUUGCAGAACCAUGCUCCUUGCAUAUGAACAACAGCCGUUUUCUGUUUUUGUUAUUGUUUUGGUUUUGUGUGUUUUUCCUCUCUUUUGAGCGCUCGUUCGUCACUGUACCAUCAAAAAUCCACAGCCAAAAUUUAUACAUAUAUUGGACCGACUCUAUGCAUCUCUCUCUUUUUUUCCUGCUUUUAUUCACACAGCUCACUUCAUUUCGGUCUCGCAUUGUGUCUGAAUAUGUUUUUGUUCUUGCUUGAAUGGUUUUUCGUAUGGAUUUGAUGUGUUGCUUGCCACUGUAUUGUUGAAUACAGUAUACGAAUUCGAUACUCCGAAUACGAAUCGGAGAAAACGUCGUUGUGGAACGAAUACGAAUGAACGAACGAACACAGAUGGGAAUGCACAGCACAUAUAGACGUGCACAAUUACCUAAAAAUCAAUCAUCAGUGUGUUGAUAUUUAAAAUGCGCAUUGUUGCAGCUGCCUACGUGACUACGGGUACGAAAGCUAUGCUACUAUGUGAAUAGAAGCGAGAAACGAAACCAAACGAAACGAACAAGGGAAAAAAAAGCAGCAGCAACAACAACAGCGCGAUGACAACAAAAAUAAUAAUAUAUAAAAUAUCGUGUUAAAAAAGAAACAAAUUUACAGAAUAAAAUUCUGUUUUUUGAUGUGUGCAAUUCAAUCGUACGAAUGAACAGAGAAGAAAGAAGAAAAAACCAUGCCAAAAAGCUAAACAGACGAAAAUGACACACAAAAAAUAAUGCUACAAAAUUAUUAUUUGCUUCGCAUGUCGAUUCAAUUUUGUCACUUUAUCUUCUACAGUUUGACCACAUAUAUUGUGUGUGUUUUGUUUUUGUUUUUUUUUUUUCGUCAGUUUAG